GAGCAAACCCUGUGCCCUUGGAGAAAAUUGUUUCCCCUUUUCCUCCAGGGAAUCCAGAGCCUGGGCAGCAGCUGUGAAGAGUGGAGAGAAAGGAAGAAGUGGGAGAUGCUGGAAGUGCUUUGGGCGACGUGAGAAGGAGGAUUUGCCCGAAGGAGCUGUUCAAGGGCCCAGCAGCAAACCAGAGACACAAAACCUGCUUAUAUAUAGAAGAAUGUAACCCUGUGUAUGCAGACGUGGACGCGUGCAUGCCUUGUCGAGAGCGUAAGCGACAUUCCCUGUAGAUCGCUGCUGUGAGCAGCCCUGCUCCUGCAGGCUGAGCCUGGCCCUGCUGGCACCACCCCCUGCCCUGCUGCCCCACCCACGCAGCAGGAUGAGGAGGAAUCUACACCCACAUUAGCAACCUGGGAAUCCCAAAGGUGCUGCAGCGCGGGCGCGGCGGGAGCGGGUGCGGAGCAGCUCGGACAGCAGUUUGUGUGUGUAAAUAUUCAUGCUCUGGCACCAGGGGAGAGCAGCUUUCCUAUGACUUUAGUUUCUCUGGUGCUACAUUUAAUAUUUGUCUGGGGCUAAACUGCCUCUCUGUGGUGCUACAGUUUCCCCAAGAGGAUGUUCUGAAACGUGGGACAAGGAAAGAUCUAUUUUGGUUAUUGAUAUUUAUACACAAGAUGGCAAAAAAUAAGACUUGUUGAGAAGGUGCUAUUUUUUUUUCUUUCUUUCAAUCUCUGCAGAAACUAAGACAAAACAAAUAAUCUACCCCAGAACUUUAUAAAACUCCUUUUCUUUGGAGCAGUUCUGUUUCUUUUUGACAGUGUGGAGCUUGGGAAGCAGCAGGCACUGAGGUGGAAAGGACACAAGGCCCUUUCCACUGCAGUGUGCACAUCAAAGUCUGCUAGAGCAGCACUUCCUACAGCUCCAGAGCUGGGAAUUCUCCUGCAUGGUGAUUUAUUCAACCCCAAAUCCCAUGAACCAGGGAAGAGAACUCUUAUCCAGACUGAUCACUAGAGCAGGGGAUAACAGGAGAACUUGGCCUUAGAAGUCAAAGGGCUUUUUUUCAGUCUAGUACUGAGCACUUUUUUCCUUGCAGCCAAAACUACCUGUCAGAUUUUGGGUACCUUCCACAUCCAGCAACCUGUGCACAGAUUUUUAGAAACAUUUUUCCUACCUUCAGAUACUUGCACCAGAAAAUUGACCCUGUCGUGGCAGGGAGGGCAUUUUCAAAGGCAUAAAGGAAUGUUAGAACCCGAUUUCUAAGGGAAAUUUGGCUCCUUGUGUUUUAGAAAUACUUCCCACCCCUCACCCAGCCCAGGAAGAAGCCAAGUGGCCGCUUCUGCAUUUUCCACUGCUGCAGGAGAAAUGUUUCUAAGCAAUGUGAAAGCUAAAUUCUCCCUUUAUCAAAUAUUCACUGCAGUGUUUUGAGCCCCUGCACACAUUUUCCUGGCUGUUAUUGAUCCAAGUCCAUCCCCAAACAGCAGCAAGGGCUCUGCUGGAAGAGCAGAUUGUUCCUAGUGAAGAACCUUGCCCUGCCUUAGGUGAUGUGCAGUGUUGGGAGGGGGGGUGUAGCUCUGUGUAGUUUGUCUGUCCAUACCCUUUGGAUGGUCUCAGAGCCACAGGGACCAGUGAAACAUUUCCCUGCCAUUUUUGGCCUGAUGCUCAGUAAUCCUCAGCAUCCUGAACCCCUUGGUGGCUCAGUCUCCUACAGAAACAUGGACAAAUUCUUCUAACAAAAGGAGGAGCCUCAGCUGAUUCCAGCAGUGCUGCCAGUGCUGGGCAGAGCCUUAAAAAUACCAAUUUCUGCAAAUCCCUGGAAUGUGGGAGUGAAAUUGUGCACGUGGAAUCACACAAGCCCCACCUGAACAGGAACCAUGGAUGUGACACUGGCUGUAGGGGACAGCCCUGCAGCUCUGCCCUGGGACAGGCCCAGAGCUGGGUCACAUCCCUCAGAGGCUCUCCCACAGAUUCCUCACCUUUAUCAGCUCUGAAUGUAAUGAACUUCUCACCUGGAACAGGCAUUAUUCCAUUUUCCCUGUGCACACAGCUUGGCUCUCCUGCUGCCCUGGCUGUUGGGGCUGCAGCCUUCAGGCUGCUCCCAGGGUUUCAAUUCCCUUGGAACAGCACAGCCAAGCAAAAGGAAAGGAAGUUCUGUCCUCCUCACCUCAGGAGAGCCCCCAAAUCUGACCAGCCCCAGUGUAGGGAUUGGCUGAUCUCCCUCAGUCCCAACUCUCUGUGGACAGGCUUGUCUGUAGAAAUUCCCAAACCUCAGAGCUCCCAGAGGAUUGCUCUCCUCAGGGGCUCCAAACAGUCAGCAAAAAAUGGUAAAGGACUUGUCCUGCCCAGCAUGGAACAACCACAUCUAUGGUGGAAACCAGAGCAGGUCUGCCACCCCAAAUCCUGCCUUGUUCCUGGGUUGCUUCACUUCUGCAGUUUCAAAGUGGAUGUUUCACAUGAACCAAGGGUGAAGUUUUGGAGUUUUGUAGCCAGAAUUCCCUGUACAGAACUGGAAUUCCUUAUUUGAGGGUACAGAUUUGUCAAAGCCUUACAUUUUGUGGUGUACUUGCUAUCCUUGAACGCCUCCAUUUUUUAACAAGGAGUGUUUUUAUCCUUUCUACGAGAUCUGCUUUGCCCCUGCUUGGUGUUUGCACGGAAAGGGAAGGGUGCUGUGAACUCCCUGGAAAUUCCCUGUCCCCUCCUGCGGGCAGGAAACCGGCACAGUUCCCCUCUGGCCCUUUUGUUUUCUCCCAGCAGCCGAGCAAUCCCUGGGCUGGGUCAGCUGGGAGGGCGGGGAGGGCUCUCCCGAUGGAGAAACUGAGCCCUCUCAGGUUUCACCAGCGACUCAUGAGCUCAUAGUCUGCGCAGAGCACGGCUGGGAGGGAACUCUUCAUGAAUUUUUAAAGCACUUCUCUGCCAAGACAGCUCCCAGCUCAGCCUGGGAUUCUGUAUUCCAAGGUAAAAGAGCAGCCUGGUGUGGGCUGCUGCUCCUCUGCCACCAGCUCAGCUCCUUUGGAGUGAACUCUGGGCUGCACCAGGGCAGGGCUUGGCCCAUGACUUCCACAUUCCCUCCUCUUCUCCCACAGAAUUAUUUUCAGCAGGUGAAAAAGCAUGGGAUGGGACCAGGCCUCCUGUCAUCCAGCUUGGUGUUCCCAGGAGGGGCAGCAGCCCAGGAAACUUCCAGCAAAUCACCCAAAGCAGGGAGCUGUCAGUGGGGAUGGGGAGAAUCCCAUCCUGCUCCUGCUUCAGAGCAGGGAGGCAGGAACUCCUCUUUGAGCAAUUCCCUUAAAUCCCAAACACUUCUUGAGCCAAUUCAUCUGAUUUGUGAGUCUGUUUUGUUUCUAUAUCACAGUAAAAGUUAUAAAGGUCUCUUAAACCCUCAGCAUGAGCAGGAGCAGUUCCUGCUGUUGAAAUCCAGGGCAAACUGAACUGGUUAAAGUGGUGCAGUGUCUGUCCACAGACAGGCUGGAAUGAGGCAUUCCCAGCUGGAAAACUGCACUGCCCUGUGAAUAACAGCCCAGUGAGGACAGAACAGCACAUCAUGCUCAAUUUCCUACACAACAUCUGUCCCUGAUGUCCACAGGAGCCUGCUAUGCAUAGAACAGACUGGCUGAGGCUCCACACUGAAUCCUGGACACACACUGUCCAUGUCCAACCCCCCUGGCUGUAUCCCAGCUCCCCAGCAGGUGCACAACUUUCCUUGGAGCCAGUUUGCUCCCAGCAAACUUGAUUUUCAAUCCAGGCUUCAAACUCAGCCUCAUUCUUGUGUAACUUUGCUGUGUGUGAGCUGAACUUUCCAUCUCAUGACACCAGGUGAGGAGACUGUGGCCAUGCCAAUCCCAGAUCCAAGGGCUGAGGGAAUUAUAGAUACCCUGGGGAGGGAUCCUCACUGCUGCUCCUGCCUUGGGUUUCCACACCACAAAAUACAAACAGGUGAAUAUUUUUCCCUGACAAUCUUUAUUUGAGUACAGGAGUGAAUUUUGAUGUGACUUCAGGCAAUUACUGAAGUGCUUGAAUUUCCCAAGGUUUUUAAUAUUUACAGGAAGUGCUUUGUAGCUUGAUAAAUAUUCACUGAAAGCAUCUGAAGAUUAAAUGGCCAUUAUUAGUUACAACAUUAUUAAUUACACCUCCAUUAGUUACUCCAUCAGUAGUUACAGGUGGCACCAAGCAGAGCAGACCCAGCUGCAGUGGGAUUUAAUUCCCUGGCUUUUGACAGCAUCCCUUUUCCAGUCAUUCACCAGAGUUUAUCACAAAACCCUCCCAUCCUCAUUAGUCCUGAGGCCACUGCAAACUCCCCAGUCUCUCCCAGGGGCAUUGCCAAGGGAAUGGCAGGCAGGGAAUGCCCAAUUCCUGGCAUUUUGCUGAUCCAGUACCACUGGGAUGUAACUGUGCAGGUUUCCCCUCACCAAAGCAAGGGCAGGGCCUGUGCUCGGAGUCCUGGAGCUCCAGGAGGCUCCUGGUCCUGGCUGGAUGGGGCUUCUCUCUUUUGUAAAAGGAAUUUCAUAUGCUGAGACUCUUUGUACAUAUUUAUAAGGAAUUUAUUAAAAAAAAAAAAAGAAAAAAAAGAAAAAUAACUGUUCAAUGGCUAAAAAAAGGCUCCGGGUUUUAUUUCCUCUCUCAGAGGAAUUUCAUUCCACAGCCUUCCCUGUUUUCCCAUGGAAAUAACAGGUUCCCAGCAGCUGUCAUUGCAACUGAAGUUUCCCCUGGAUGUUUUCUGGUCCAAGUGUCAUGUUCUAGGAGAAGGUAGGACCAUCCUCCCAAAAAAACCCCAAAACUUUAAGAAUACAAACCUACACUUUCCAUUGACUUCCUGCCUUGCCACCAAAUAAAACCAAAAUUUGAAGCAGUGUAUCCCACACUUUCUGUGGAGCUGGGCUCCUACUGAGCUUUUCUCACAUUUCUCCAAACACAUUUUCCAGGAGCAUUUAGGGAAAAAAGAUCAGAAUGAGAAGGAGCUUUUCAAACGGUUUGAAAGCAGAAGCAGCAAGCCUUGUGUUCACUGGCACUGCAGUGACACUGAGGCCUUUCAGGAACUCCCUGCCCAUGGAAUCACUGCUUUCCCCUUUUCCUGCUAAAUAUUCCAGGCUAUCACAUGUAAUAUUUUUAUGCCCAAUGAAAACCUUGCUCCCUGCCAUUCUGAACUCUUCCAUCCCAAAGACAGGGAAGUUACUCCCAUUUUAGAGAGCAAUGAGAUUCCAUGGCUCAGUUCUGCACUGUCACAGGAUCCAUUAGACAAUUUGACAUCACUUUGUUUUGGAAAGCAAAGCUUUUCCUCCUCUGCUUCCCUGGCCCUCCUGAGCCAGGCUUGGCCUCUCCCCAGCUCUGCUCUGCUCCCACCAUUCCUCCCCAGCCACACUGAGCUGUUAUUUUAAUCCUGUUCAUCAGCUCCCGUUGGCUUUAAUUCCUCCCCUGUGGAGUUUCCAUCAGCACAGACUCAGCUCCUUCCCUGAGGAGCCUCCUCCUGCUGCUGGCUGGGGUGGGGCUGCCACCCUGGGCAUUUCCAUGGCAAUGAGCUGGGAAGAUGCUCCUGCUCCUGACAGGGUGGGAGCUGAGGUGGUUUGGGGACAGGGAAAGCUCCAGAACAAACAGCAGCUCCCUCUGAGAACCUCAGCAGGGACCUCAGGCACAGGGAUGGGGCUAAUUCCUGUGAAUUCCUGCCAGGGAUCUCCUUCCCCAGCAGCUCCUGCUGGAGCUCAGGGCUCUGGUUUGCCCUGCUCAGACCCAGCCAGGUCCUGGCAGACACACAGAGUUUGUGAGGUGCUCUUGGGCAGGUGCUGGAUUCCCACCCAGACAAACCCAACUCAACCUUAACCUCCCUCUGCUCUCCACAGAAACUGGGAAACCAGAAAGUCCCAUCAUGAAAGUUAAAGAGGAAAAACACUUCCAGGGAAAGGAAGUUUCAUUUCCAGCUUCACUGGCAGGGUCCUUCCCAAGCUCCCUGGGAUUUUCUUAAGGUGACAGCACGUGCCAUUUGUGGAAUCAACUGGAAAAACAGCAGCUGGGAAAUGACAUUUCUCCAACUGCAGCUUUGGACACAAAGCUCUGCAGCACUGCUUGGGAAGAGUUCUCAGAGAGGUGCUGUAAAAUUCUCUAGAGUUCUCAGAGAGAGGUGCUGUGUGAUUCUAGAGAGUUCUCAGAGAGGUGCUGUGUGAUUCUAGAGAGUUCUCAGAGAGAGGUGCUGUAAAAUUCUAUAGAGUUCUCAGAAAGAGGUGCUGUGUGAUUCUACAGAGUUCUCAGAGAGAGGUGCUGUGUGAUUCUACAGAGUUCUCAGAGAGGUGCUGUGAAUUUCUAUAGAGUUCUCAGAGAGGUGUUGUGUAAUUCUG